GGAAGAUCGGCGGUGGACGGACUCCUCGCCAACCCGGUCAGGUCCGGAAGGAAGCAGCCGUAACGAGUUUUUGGUUCGGGUCGCUGUCCGGUCUUCCACU
rnacentral:SRP_RNA from 1 species